UACGAAGGGGGCUAGCGUUGUUCGGAAUUACUGGGCGUAAAGGGAGCGUAGGCGGACAUUUAAGUCAGGGGUGAAAUCCCAGAGCUCAACUCUGGAACUGCCUUUGAUACUGGGUGUCUUGAGUGUGAUAGAGGUAUGUGGAACUCCGAGUGUAGAGGUGAAAUUCGUAGAUAUUCGGAAGAACACCAGUGGCGAAGGCGACAUACUGGAUCAUUACUGACGCUGUGGCUCGAAAGCGUGGGGAGCAAAC
rnacentral:rRNA from 1 species